GUGCAUUCCCUCCACUCCUCCACUCGGCUCACAAAGCGAGGAAGACAGGCCAGCCCCCCGCCCACGAUUGAGGAACAGCGUGUUUACCUGUACAGCUGGCAAGCAAGCUUUGGGUAGAAGCCUUAACAUCAGACCACAUGGCCGUGCCCAAGUCCUUGUCAAACCAUCACUACCACCAACUUUUAACAACAUCCCCUAAGAGCAGGAAAAAAAGAUCCUGGGUACCAGGGCUGAGAAAGCCAAUGUUCAAAGGAAUGGCUACCAUCACAUUUCCCAGGAGAGCCGGCACAAACCCUGCGCUUCCCUUCCCAUUGUCUUUCCACCAUCCCCUCCCCUCCCGGUACCCACAUCUGUCCAGUUUAUUCAAAAUGACUGCUGGUCUCUGUGAAGAGUAUUUAGAUGACCAGAGGCUGGACAGAGUCCAGCAGGAAGAAGCCUCAAACAUGACUGAACAAAAGGGCCUGAAAUAUCUUCCGAAGUUGCUGGCACUCUAUAGAGACUUGCACCAUCUUCUGAAAGACGCGGACAGCUGGAAACUUGCUGCAGCACCGAAGGUUGGCCCCUCGUGCGCUUGUGCACGCAAACACUCUCCCCCUCCAGAGCACAUGACUGCUAUCUCUGCAUCUCUCACAUUCACAGGCGUAGCACUCAGCCUCGCCCAUGUCCCGAGGGACAGCUGCUCUGAGACCCACCCUGAAGCUAGGCGGCAGGAUGAGCAACGUUUUCCACUGUGAGCAGGAGGCAGGCCAAACUGCGUGUGAGUGAAUCAUGAAGGCCCGAGAAGGAGACAGAUUACGAGGAAACUCCACUUAGUAAAGGCCCACGAGAACAGGCGUGGAGGGGAGACCUACCACUUUCUAAAUAGAUAAGGGAAAAUCUUAAGGUUUUUUGGUUUGUUUUUUGUUUUUUACUGAGUUUCAAGUACUUGGAAAGCUCAGAUGCAACCAGCAGCUGUGGACUUCCUGAGCCUUUAAAAAAAUAAAAGUGUAUUAGGACCUGAUGCGGCCCAGCUCAGCAGAUUUGGAGC
rnacentral:lncRNA from 1 species